UACGGGGGGGCAAGCGUUGUUCGGAAUUACUGGGCGUAAAGGGCUCGUAGGUGGCCAACUAAGUCAGACGUGGAAUCCCCCGGCUUAACCGGGGAACUGCGUCUGAUACUGGAUGGCUUGAGUUCGGGAGAGGGAUGCGGAAUUCCAGGUGUAGCGGUGAAAUGCGUAGAUAUCUGGAGGAACACCAAUGGCGAAGGCAGCUUGCUGGGACGGUACUGACGCUGAGGCGCGAAAGCGUGGGGAGCAAACAGG
rnacentral:rRNA from 1 species